CCAACAGCACCAAAAAGUGAAUCCCUCUGUUUAUCCACGUCCCUGGCACAGUGUGGACAGGUGCUGUGCAAGUUUCCCACACAAUCCUCUGUCCUGCUGCCUCAACCCUGACCUUGAGGGACCAUCUCUAUUGUGAUGAAAAGUCAACAGCUUUCCAUGCCUUGGCCACACUGCUGAA
rnacentral:sRNA from 1 species